rnacentral:rRNA from 1 species
GAUGAACGCUAGCGGCAGGCUUAACACAUGCAAGUCGAGGGGUAUAGGUUUUCGGACCUAGAGACCGGCGCACGGGUGCGUAACGCGUAUGCAAUCUACCUUUCACGGAGGGAUAGCCCAGAGAAAUUUGGAUUAAUACCUCAUAGUAUAGCAGUUUCGCAUGAAACCACUAUUAAAGUUCCAACGGUGAAAGAUGAGCAUGCGUCCCAUUAGCUAGAUGGUAAGGGAACGGCUUACCAUGGCUACGAUGGGUAGGGGUCCUGAGAGGGAGAUCCCCCACGCGGGGAAUGAGACGCGGACCAGAAGCCUACGGGGGGCAGCAGUGAGGAAGAGUGGUGAAGGGGCGAAAGUCUGAACCAGCCAUGCCGCGUGCAGGAUGACGGUCCUAUGGAUGGUAAACUGCGUGGGUACGGGAAGAAACAUUCCGACGUGUCGGAACUUGACGGUAUCGUAAGAAUAAGGAUCGGCUAACUCCGUGCCAGCCGCCGCCGUAAGAC